AUUUCUUUGAAUUCUGUCUACAGAUCCACGAGCAAGAGAGGUAUUGUAGGUGACUUUUGUUCUUAUAUCAGAUGUUAUCCUUGUUGACAAAUCAAUAAUUCUAGCUUGUCAAUUUGGGAUAACUUGACUGUUUAAGUAAAUGUAAAUCCCUUGAUAAUAACUUCUUCUUUUUUCGUAAAAAAUCAAUUCUUGAAAAAAGAAAUUGGAAAGACUUCUCUCUCUACUAUAGGAUUUUGCUUGAUUAUAUUUUGGUAAGCGUACAUUAGAGUGCAGGCUAGUCGGUUUUUAAGGGACCCAUUGCUUGACUCCUUUAAUGGUUGAUUACCUUGCCAUUUUAAAAAAGAAAUUUGGCUGACUUUUUUUAAAAUCCUUGUUAUCUUAAAAGGCCAUUUAGGCUGGUUGGGUUGGUUUAUUUAAUUAAAUAAUUCAUUAUAUAAUAUGUAUUACCACUACUAAUGCUACUCGUUAGACUAUUUUAAUAUGGCUUUUGGAUUGAUUAAAGGUGGCAUUGCAAAAGUAGGCCUUUAAAUUAAAGCGUUCAGGCAUAACUAUCCUUUCUAAAAGACCAUGUUUGAUAAACAUGUCAAGUGCACCAUGUGAAAAUACUAUAGAGGUUAUUGUUGCUACGAUAGCUUUUGUAAUGGGUAUUGACAAAUAAAACAUGUCAGAAGAAUCAUCGACUAUGGUUGGCCACAAGUUUGUUUUUAAAAGUUUGAAAGCCUACUGCCAAGAAGCUGGACGGGCCGGUCAAGAUGGGAAAUUUGCAGAUUGCAAUAUGUAAUGAAUACUUCAUGCUGUCGAGCAAAGACGUUGAAUACUUUGGAGAGGAUUUCAGUCAUUGGAGAUGUCUCUACUGUCACUUUUGCAUUAAUGGUCCACCACAAAGACUGUAUCUAAAAGAAGGUAGUUGAUCUAAUGAGCAGGUAGAAGUGAAAGCUUUAGACAGCAAGUUUGUUGCAAACAAGGUGCUUUUUUAUGUUUAUAUAGUGCCCCUUUUUUCUUUUUUAUUUGCAUUUAUUAUGCUCAUUUUAAUCUCUAACUAGUCUAGUGGACAGGUGUUUUAUCAUAAAAUAGUUGAUACCUUUAAAAUUUGUACAAAUGUAUCCCAAAGCCUUGGUGGUCCCUGACCUGCAUUAUGGGAGGUGGAACACCCUUGAUGUUUGUGGUCGAGCAAUGUUAGAGAGUUUCUAUUGAGGUCUUUGAAGAGAACUGUGAGUGAGAAGAUAAAAUCCAUUACACCAUUGCAGAUAAGGAUGAUAUCUACAAGUAAUCUUUUCUUUAA